AACCACUCAAUAUACUUCUACCAAUUAUAUAGAAUCUACAACAACAGCUCCAUCAACACUUACAACAGCUGUAUUUCCUGUGAGCACAGCCACAAUAGAAUCAUCUACAAUUGAAAGUGGUUUAACACUGGGAACAACAUCAUUUCCAACAGAUAAUACUGCAUAUUCACCAUCGUCUACAAGAGAAGGACAGACAACAUCAGAAUUCACUUCAUCUACAACAGAGAUACCCUCAUCUAGUGAAGAACAAACAACAAGCCAGCAGACACCAUCCACUCAAUAUACCUCAACCACUGAAAUAGAAUCUACACCAACAGCUCCAUCAACAUGUACAACCGCUGUAUCUCCUGUGAGCACAACCACAAUAGAAUCAUCUACAAGUGAAAGUGGUUCAACACUGGGAACAACAACAUCCACAACAUAUUCUACUCCACCUUCACCAUCGUCUACAACAGAAGGACAGACAUCAUCACAAUUCACUUCAUCUACAACAGAGAUAUCCUCAUCUAGUGUAGAACAAACAACAAAACAGCAGACACAUACCACUCAAUAUACUUCUACCACUGAAAAAGAAUCUACAUUGACAAGUGAAAUUGGAUCAACAGCGGCAACUAAAUUAUCCACAACAGAUUCUACUUCAUCUUUACCAUCGUCUACAACAAUCGGACAGACAAGAACAGAGUUAAUUUUGUCUACAACACUAAUAUCUCCAUCCACUGCAAAGCAAACAACAAGUCAGCAGACACAAACCACUAGUUUAAUUUCAAGUACAGAAACACAUUCAACACAGUCAAUUCAUUCGACAUUUCCACCUCUGGAAACCACUGGAUCAAUUUCUCCAAACUCACCUGCCUCACUCACUACAACUUCCCUCAAUCCUAACUCACAUCAAACAAUAACUCAAACUGUUACAGCCCAAACAUUUAGCAAUUCAACCUCAGCCCAGUCAAGCCCUUCUGCUCAAACUAGUACCCAGAAAACUUCAUCAACAUCAACAGCACCUCCUUCAUCCAUAACAACUGUCAACUCAGUUUCAACAACUCAAAACUGUCUGGAGUAUUGUCAGUGUAACGGGUCCCCAUGCAUCUUCAAUGUAGCAUCUGGGAAAUGUCAGUGUAAAUGCAAUAAUUUCACUUUUGGAGAUACUUGCAAUUUUGCAAAUGACUCAUCCACGGUCACUUGGUCUGAAAGCAUACCCACAAGGAACGCAAAUAUCUCUCUCAGAAUUAUGAUGGACUAUCUUACAGAGUAUGAAAAUGUGAACUCUCCAAAAUCAAAAAAACUCAUUUCCAUCUUAAAACGUGAGCUUUCAAUCCUUUGUAGAAGAGCAGAUGCACAACAUUUCAAGGAUGUGCAAAUACGUAAGCUAACGCCAGGAAGUGUCAUUGCUGAAAGUAUUGCAGUGUAUAACUAUCCCAACAACAACUCACAAAUAAUGUUUCUAAAUAACGAUUUGGGACCCACCCUGGAAAAAAUCUUUAAUGACUCAGAUUCAUUUAAAAAUCUCAGCAUGGCUCUUGGCAAUGCUUCCAUCCAAUAUGCCCAAAUUACCAUGGGUACAGUUGAAAUAUCAAAUAUUUCAGAUCUACAUCCAUUUGUGCAAUGCACCGUGAAUUUUACAAGCUUAACAGUAGAGAUUGAAGAUGGGGCAUGGGUAUGUGUGGGAUCAUGCAAAAAAAAUCCCAACUUCUGCAAUCAACAAGGUGAAUGCAAAAAUGAAAUAAAUGGACCACAGUGCAAGUGUUACAGUUCUUACUUUGAGAAGUACUAUGGAGCUCAGUGUGAGCUUUACAGCAGAGGAGCCGGUUUCUACGCUGUUCUCUUCGGCUGUUUAGUAGCUUUUGCUCUACUUAUCAUUGUUUCAGCUGUGAUAACUGUGGUGCUCUGCAGAGCCAAGAGAACAUCAAGCAGAAAAAGGCUAUCAUUAUUUGACGACGACUUCUUUGAUUUUACAUCAAGAGGUAUGAUAUCUAUCUGUUGCUUUGUCCAUGCUUUAGUAAAUAUACUUCAGCAGCUGUACAAUAUGAUCUCUCAAACAUGGGGAAAGAUGGGAGAACUACAUAAUUGA
ensembl:lncRNA